rnacentral:lncRNA from 10 species
AAUUUUCAGGUGGAGAUUUCAAGCGCUUUGAGGCCAAUGGUAGAAAAGGAAAUAUCUUCGUAUAAAAACUAGACAGAAUCAUUCUCAGAAACUACUUUGUGAUGUGUGCAUUCAACUCACAGAGUUUAACCUUACUUUUCAUAGAGCAGUUUGGAAACACUCUUUUUGCAGAAUCUGCAAGUGGAUAUUUGGACCUCUUUGAGGCCUUCGUUGGAAACGGGAUUUCUUCACAUAAUGUUAGACAGAAGAAUUCUCAGUAACUUCUUUGUGUUGUGUGUAUUCAACUCACAGAGUUGAACCUUCCUUUAGACAGAGCAGAUUUGA